rnacentral:rRNA from 1 species
UUAGGAAUCUUGCGCAAUGGGCGAAAGCCUGACGCAGCGACGCCGCGUGCGGGAUGAAGGCCUUCGGGUUGUAAACCGCUUUCAGCAGGGACGCGGUACCUGCAGAAGAAGCCCCGGCCAACUACGUGCCAGCAGCCGCGGUAAUACGUAGGGGGCAAGCGUUGUCCGGAUUUAUUGGGCGUAAAGAGCUCGUAGGUGGUUUGGUAAGUCGGAUGUGAAAUCUCCAGGCUCAACCUGGAGGGGUCAUUCGAUACUGCCAGACUAGAGGUCGGUAGGGGAGUGUGGAAUUCCCGGUGGAGCGGUGAAAUGCGCAGAUAUCAGGAGGAACACCCGUAGCGAAGGCGGCACUCUGGGCCGAUACUGACACUGAGGAGCGAAAGCGUGGGGAGCGAACAGGAUUAGAUACCCUAGUAGU